CAUGCAAGUCGAACGAGGAUAUAUCCUUCGGGAUAUAAGCCGAGUGGCGCAAGGGUGAGUAAUGCAUAGAUUACCUGCCUCUAGGAUAAGGACAACUUUGUGAAAACGAAGCUAAUACUUAAUAAUACAAAAGAAAAUAAUUUUCUUUUGUCAAUGGGAGGGUAGCAAUACCUUUUGCCUAGAGAGGGGUUUAUGUCCUAUCAGCUUGUUGGUGGGGUAAUGGCCUACCAAGGCGAAGACGGGUAGCCGGUCUUAGAGGAUGGUCGGCCACACUGGGACUGAGACGCUGCCCAGACUUCUACAGAAGGCUGCAGUCGAGAAUCUUUCGCAAUGCCCGAAAGGGUGACGAAGCGACGCCGCGUGAGUGAGGAAGGCCUUAGGGUUGUAAAGCUCUGUCAGGAGUUAAGAAAUAUAAGUGUGUUAAUACCACGUUUAUUUGACGAAGGCUCCAAAGGAAGCCACGGCUAACUCUGUGCCAGCAGCCGCGGUAAUACAGAGGUGGCAAGCGUUGUUCGGAAUUAUUGGGCGUAAAGAGCACGUAGGUGGGUUUGUAAGUCAGAUGUGAAAGCCUUCUGUUCAACGGAAGAAUUGCAUCUGAAACUGCAAGUCUUGAGUGUAGGAGGGGAGAAUGGAACUUCUGGUGGAGCGGUGAAAUGCGUAGAUAUCAGAAGGAACGCCGGCGGCGAAAGCGAUUCUCUGGCCUAUUACUGACGCUCAGUGUGCGAAAGCUAGGGGAGCAAACGGGAUUAGAUACCCCGGUAGUCCUAGCCGUAAACGAUGGGCACUAAGUAGAGGGAAUUACCGAUGUUCUCUCUGCCGUAGCUAACGCAUUAAGUGCCCCGCCUGGGGAGUACGGCCGCAAGGCUAAAACUCAAAAGAAUUGACGGGGGCUCGCACAAGCGGUGGAGCAUGUGGCUUAAUUCGAUGCAACGCGAAAAACCUUACCGGGGCUUGACAUGGUAGAAGUAGGAACCCGAAAGGGUAACGAACGGUAUCCAGUCCAUAGCUAUCACAGGUGUUGCAUGGCUGUCGUCAGCUCGUGUCGUGAGACGUUGGGUUAAGUCCCCUAACGAGCGAAACCCUUGUUUUCAGUUACCAGCGGGUUAUGCCGGGUACUCUAGAAAGACUGCCGUCGUCAAGACGGAGGAAGGUGGGGAUGACGUCAAGUCAUCAUGGCCCUUAUGCCCCGGGCUGCACACGUGCUACAAUGGUCGGUACAAACGGAAGCGAAGCCGAGAGGUGAAGCGAAUCCUAAAAAGCCGAUCUCAGUUCGGAUUGGAGGCUGAAAUUCGCCUCCAUGAAGUUGGAAUCGCUAGUAAUCGCGGAUCAGCAAUGCCGCGGUGAAUAUGUUCCCGAGCCUUGUACACACCGCCCGUCAAGCCACCCAAGCAGGAUGCACCCGAAAACAUUAUAUCUAACCAGGGCAACUUGGAGGAAAGUGUUGAAGGAGUGUUUUGUGAGGAGGACUAAGUCGUAACAAGGUAGUCGUAGGAGAACCUGCGGCUGGAUCACCUCCUUUCU
rnacentral:rRNA from 1 species